rnacentral:rRNA from 1 species
UGAGGAAUAUUGGUCAAUGGGCGCAAGCCUGAACCAGCCAUCCCGCGUGCAGGAAGACGGCGCUAUGCGUUGUAAACUGCUUUUCCAGGGAGAGAAACUUGCGCACGUGUUGCGCAAUUGACGGUACCCUGGGAAUAAGCAUCGGCUAACUCCGUGCCAGCAGCCGCGGUAAUACAGAGGAUGCGAGCGUUAUCCGGAUUCAUUGGGUUUAAAGGGUGCGUAGGCGGACUAUUAAGUCAGUGGUGAAAUCCUGCAGCUUAACUGCAGAACUGCCAUUGAUACUGAUAGCCUUGAGUUUGGUUAAGGUAGGCGGAAUGUGUAAUGUAGCGGUGAAAUGCUUAGAUAUUACACAGAACACCAAUUGCGUAGGCAGCUUACUGAGACGACACUGACGCUGAAGAACGAAAGCGUGGGGAUCGAACAG